AGUGCGUAAUAGCUCACUAGUCGAGUGACACUGCGCCGAAAAUGUACCGGGGCUAAACAUAUUACCGAAGCUGUGGAUUGUCCUUUGGACAAUGGUAGGAGAGCGUUCUAAGGGCGUUGAAGCAUGAUCGUAAGGACAUGUGGAGCGCUUAGAAGUGAGAAUGCCGGUGUGAGUAGCGAAAGACGGGUGAGAAUCCCGUCCACCGAUUGACUAAGGUUUCCAGAGGAAGGCUCGUCCGCUCUGGGUUAGUCGGGUCCUAAGCUGAGGCCGACAGGCGUAGGCGAUGGAUAACAGGUUGAUAUUCCUGUACCACCUAUAAUCGUUUUAAUCGAUGGGGGGACGCAGUAGGAUAGGCGAAGCGUGCGAUUGGAUUGCACGUCUAAGCAGUAAGGCUGAGUAUUAGGCAAAUCCGGUACUCGUUAAGGCUGAGCUGUGAUGGGGAGAAGACAUUGUGUCUUCGAGUCGUUGAUUUCACACUGCCGAGAAAAGCCUCUAGAUAGAAAAUAGGUGCCCGUACCGCAAACCGACACAGGUAGUCAAGAUGAGAAUUCUAAGGUGAGCGAGCGAACUCUCGUUAAGGAACUCGGCAAAAUGACCCCGUAACUUCGGGAGAAGGGGUGCUCUUUAGGGUUAACGCCCAGAAGAGCCGCAGUGAAUAGGCCCAAGCGACUGUUUAUCAAAAACACAGGUCUCUGCUAAACCGUAAGGUGAUGUAUAGGGGCUGACGCCUGCCCGGUGCUGGAAGGUUAAGAGGAGUGGUUAGCUUCUGCGAAGCUACGAAUCGAAGCCCCAGUAAACGGCGGCCGUAACUAUAACGGUCCUAAGGUAGCGAAAUUCCUUGUCGGGUAAGUUCCGACCCGCACGAAAGGCGUAACGAUUUGGGCACUGUCUCAACGAGAGACUCGGUGAAAUCAUAGUACCUGUGAAGAUGCAGGUUACCCGCGACAGGACGGAAAGACCCCGUGGAGCUUUACUGUAGCCUGAUAUUGAAAUUCGGCACAGCUUGUACAGGAUAGGUAGGAGCCUUUGAAACGUGAGCGCUAGCUUACGUGGAGGCGCUGGUGGGAUACUACCCUAGCUGUGUUGGCUUUCUAACCCGCACCACUUAUCGUGGUGGGAGACAGUGUCAGGCGGGCAGUUUGACUGGGGCGGUCGCCUCCUAAAAGGUAACGGAGGCGCUCAAAGGUUCCCUCAGAAUGGUUGGAAAUCAUUCAUAGAGUGUAAAGGCAUAAGGGAGCUUGACUGCGAGACCUACAAGUCGAGCAGGGUCGAAAGACGGACUUAGUGAUCCGGUGGUUCCGCAUGGAAGGGCCAUCGCUCAACGGAUAAAAGCUACCCCGGGGAUAACAGGCUUAUCUCCCCCAAGAGUUCACAUCGACGGGGAGGUUUGGCACCUCGAUGUCGGCUCAUCGCAUCCUGGGGCUGUAGUCGGUCCCAAGGGUUGGGCUGUUCGCCCAUUAAAGCGGUACGCGAGCUGGGUUCAGAACGUCGUGAGACAGUUCGGUCCCUAUCCGUCGUGGGCGUAGGAAAUUUGAGAGGAGCUGUCCUUAGUACGAGAGGACCGGGAUGGACAUACCUCUGGUGUACCAGUUGUCGUGCCAACGGCAUAGCUGGGUAGCUAUGUGUGGACGGGAUAAGUGCUGAAAGCAUCUAAGCAUGAAGCCCCCCUCAAGAUGAGAUUUCCCAACUUCGGUUAUAAGAUCCCUCAAAGAUGAUGAGGUUAAUAGGUUCGAGGUGGAAGCAUGGUGACAUGUGGAGCUGACGAAUACUAAUCGAUCGAAGACUUAAUCAA
rnacentral:rRNA from 1 species